CGCGGCCUAUCAGCUUGUUGGUGGGGUAACGGCCUACCAAGGCAUCGACGGGUAGCUGGUCUGAGAGGAUGAUCGGCCACACUGGGACUGAGACACGGCCCAGACUCCUACGGGAGGCAGCAGUGGGGAAUCUUGCGCAAUGGGCGAAAGCCUGACGCAGCAACGCCGCGUGCGGGAAGAAGGCCUUCGGGUUGUAAACCGCUUUCAGAAGGAACGAAACUGACGGUACUUUCAGAAGAAGGUGCGGCCAACUACGUGCCAGCAGCCGCGGUGACACGUAGGCACCAAGCGUUGUCCGGAUUUAUUGGGCGUAAAGAGCUCGUAGGCGGUUCGGUAAGUCGGAUGUGAAAUCUUUGGGCUCAACCCAAAGCGUGCACUCGAUACUGCCGUGACUGGAGUUCGGUAGGGGAGCGGGGAAUUCCUAGUGUAGCGGUGAAAUGCGCAGAUAUUAGGAGGAACACCGGUGGCGAAGGCGCCGCUCUGGGCCGAUACUGACGCUGAGGAGCGAAAGCGUGGGUAGCAAACAGGAUUAGAUACCCUGGUAGUCCACGCCGUAAACGUUGGGCACUGGGUGUGGGUCUCAACCAACGAGAUCCGCGCCGUCGCUAACGCAUUAAGUGCCCCGCCUGGGGAGUACGG
rnacentral:rRNA from 1 species